AUGAAGAGGAAAUGGGGAGCCCUGCUGGGGUUUCUCUGGGUCCAGAUUUGCUGGGUGAGGGGAGUGAAGGUGGAGCAGAGUCCUUCAAUCUUGAGCCUCCAGGAGGGAGCCAACUCUACUCUGUGGUGCAAUUUUUCUGACACGGUAAACAAUGUGCAGUGGUUCCAGCAGAAUCCCGGAGGCAGCCUCAUCACGCUGUUUUUCAUAGCUUCAGGGACGAAGCAGAAUGAAAGGCUGAGUUCCACAGUGAAUUCUAAGGAGCGGUAUAGUACCCUACACAUCACAGCCUCCCAGCUGGAAGACGCAGCCACCUACCUCUGUGCGGUGGAGGCACAGUGCUCCCAGGUGGCCUGCAGCCUGUACCCAAACUGCAGCUGCCUCAGCCCCAGCCCUGCACAGUACCACACCGUCCAAGUACCCUUGUUACCUCUGUGGGUUUCCAGAUUCAUAAUUCAGCACUUUUUCCUCUGA